rnacentral:rRNA from 1 species
UGGCCCCAAGUCAGGCGAGGCCCACCCGCCGAGUUUAAGCAUAUAAAUAAGCGGAGGAGGAGAACACUUACGAGGAUUCCCCUAGUAACGGCGAGUGAACCGGGAUCGGCCCAGCUUGAGCAUUUGACGG